rnacentral:rRNA from 1 species
GAUGAACGCUGGCGGCGUGCUUAACACAUGCAAGUCGAACGAAGAUGCCGGAGUGCUUGCACUUUGGCAGACUGAGUGGCGGACGGGUGAGUAACGCGUGGGUAACCUGCCUCACACAGGGGGAUAACAGUUGGAAACGGCUGCUAAUACCGCAUAAGCGCACAGUACCGCAUGGUACAGUGUGAAAAACUCCGGUGGUGUGAGAUGGACCCGCGUCUGAUUAGCUAGUUGGUGGUGUAAAUGGACUACCAAGGCGACGAUCAGUAGCCGACCUGAGAGGGUGACCGGCCACAUUGGGACUGAGACA